rnacentral:rRNA from 1 species
GAUGAACGCUGGCGGCGUGCCUAAUACAUGCAAGUCGAGCGAACGGACGAGAAGCUUGCUUCUCUGAUGUUAGCGGCGGACGGGUGAGUAACACGUGGAUAACCUACCUAUAAGACUGGGAUAACUUCGGGAAACCGGAGCUAAUACCGGAUAAUAUUUUGAACCGCAUGGUUCAAAAGUGAAAGACGGUCUUGCUGUCACUUAUAGAUGGAUCCGCGCUGCAUUAGCUAGUUGGUAAGGUAACGGCUUACCAAGGCAACGAUGCAUAGCCGACCUGAGAGGGUGAUCGGCCACACUGGAACUGAGACACGGUCCAGACUCCUACGGGAGGCAGCAGUAGGGAAUCUUCCGCAAUGGGCGAAAGCCUGACGGAGCAACGCCGCGUGAGUGAUGAAGGUCUUCGGAUCGUAAAACUCUGUUAUUAGGGAAGAACAUAUGUGUUAGUAACUGUGCACAUCUUGACGGUACCUAAUCAGAAAGCCACGGCUAACUACGUGCCAGCAGCCGCGGUAAUACGUAGGUGGCAAGCGUUAUCCGGAAUUAUUGGGCGUAAAGCGCGCGUAGGCGGUUUUUUAAGUCUGAUGUGAAAGCCCACGGCUCAACCGUGGAGGGUCAUUGGAAACUGGAAAACUUGAGUGCAGAAGAGGAAAGUGGAAUUCCAUGUGUAGCGGUGAAAUGCGCAGAGAUAUGGAGGAACACCAGUGGCGAAGGCGACUUUCUGGUCUGUAACUGACGCUGAUGUGCGAAAGCGUGGGGAUCAAACAGGAUUAGAUACCCUGGUAGUCCACGCCGUAAACGAUGAGUGCUAAGUGUUAGGGGGUUUCCGCCCCUUAGUGCUGCAGCUAACGCAUUAAGCACUCCGCCUGGGGAGUACGACCGCAAGGUUGAAACUCAAAGGAAUUGACGGGGACCCGCACAAGCGGUGGAGCAUGUGGUUUAAUUCGAAGCAACGCGAAGAACCUUACCAAAUCUUGACAUCCUUUGACAACUCUAGAGAUAGAGCCUUCCCCUUCGGGGGACAAAGUGACAGGUGGUGCAUGGUUGUCGUCAGCUCGUGUCGUGAGAUGUUGGGUUAAGUCCCGCAACGAGCGCAACCCUUAAGCUUAGUUGCCAUCAUUAAGUUGGGCACUCUAAGUUGACUGCCGGUGACAAACCGGAGGAAGGUGGGGAUGACGUCAAAUCAUCAUGCCCCUUAUGAUUUGGGCUACACACGUGCUACAAUGGACAAUACAAAGGGCAGCGAAACCGCGAGGUCAAGCAAAUCCCAUAAAGUUGUUCUCAGUUCGGAUUGUAGUCUGCAACUCGACUACAUGAAGCUGGAAUCGCUAGUAAUCGUAGAUCAGCAUGCUACGGUGAAUACGUUCCCGGGUCU